GACGGUAAGGUAUUGGCUUACCGUGGCAGUGACGGUUAACGGGGAAUUAGGGUUCAAUUCCGGAGAGGGAGCCUGAGAAACGGCUACCACAUCUAAGGAAGGCAGCAGGCGCGCAAAUUACCCAAUUCUAACAGCAUAAGAGAGGUAGUGACAAGAAAUAACAGUACAAGGCAGUUAAAAUGCUUUGUAAUUGGAAUGAUAGAAAUUUAAAUACUUUUUAAAGUAUCAAUUGGAGGGCAAGUCUGGUGCCAGCAGCCGCGGUAAUUCCAGCUCCAAUAGCGUAUAUUAAAAUUGUUGCAGUUAAAAAGCUCGUAGUUGAAUUUUUGCUAAAAAUAACCGGUCUGCUUUUAUUAAUAAAAGUGGUAUCUUGGUGUGUUUUUAGCAAUAAUGUCCUUUGAAAUGUUUUUUACUUUAUUGUAAAAAGCAAUUUUCAGGAUUUUUACUUUGAGAAAAUUAGAGUGUUUC
rnacentral:rRNA from 1 species